rnacentral:rRNA from 1 species
UGCUGCAUGGUUGUCGUCAGCUCGUGCCGUGAGGUGUCGGGUUAAGUCCCAUAACGAGCGCAACCCUACCUUUAGUUGCCAUCAGGUAAUGCUGGGGACUCUAAAGGAACUGCCUACGCAAGUAGUGAGGAAGCGGGGAUGACGUCAAAUCAGCACGGCCCUUACGUCCAGGGCUACACACGUGCUACAAUGGCCGAUACAGAGGGCAGCUACCUGGUGACAGGAUGCAAAUCUCCAAAGUCGGUCUCAGUUCGGAUCGGAGUCUGCAACCCGACUCCGUGAAGUUGGAUUCGCUAGUAAUCGCGCAUCAGCCAUGGCGCGGUGAAUACGUUCCCGGGCCUU